rnacentral:misc_RNA from 1 species
GAUGAAGAACGUAGCGAAAUGCGAUAAGUAGUGUGAAUUGCAGAAUUCAGUGAAUCAUCGAAUCUUUGAACGCACAUUGCGCCCCUUGGUAUUCCAUGGGGCAUGCCUGUUCGAGCGUCAUUUGUACCUUCAAGCUCUGCUUGGUGUUGGGUGUUUGUCUCGCCUCUGCGUGUAGACUCGCCUCAAAACAAUUGGCAGCCGGCGUAUUGAUUUCGGAGCGCAGUACAUCUCGCGCUUUGCACUCAUAACGACGACGUCCAAAAGUACAUUUUUACACUCUUGACCUCGGUUCAGGUAGGGAUACCCGCUGAACUUAAGCAUAUCAAUAAGCGGAGGA